rnacentral:lncRNA from 1 species
UUUUUUUUUUUUUUUUUUUUAUCACUGGAAUAAAGACUAAGCCUUUAUGUUAGGAAAUAAUGUCAUGGAAUUAAGUCUGUGAAAGCCUCUUUUCGGGCACAGUCUUAGUGAUGUAGGGGAAAGCCUGAGAAGAGUCCAAGUGAUAGUGUCUAGACAAUUCUGACACUCAUUUCCUUCAAAAAGAUCUGCAAAAUUUCACCAAGUAAUCUUGUUUUUUACCAGCCAAAGUUUAUCAGCUCUGGAUCCCCAUUUUUAUUUUGGAACUAACACCUGCACACAAUCUUGUUUUACCAGUGGUUAGCAAAUUGGUUCUAUCCCUGUAGGUAAUCUUUCUUUCUUUCAUCAUUUUAAUGUAUUUAAAAAGUAUUGUGAGCAUGGAGUGGAACGUGGCAUAUGGCUGGAGUAUUGGGAUGGGAACAGCAUCCAUUUUUCCUUGUUUUAAUGGCUUUAAUCACUAGACACCAAUACUCAUGGAGUUAAAGAGUAAGGAGACAUUUCGUCCCCUGUGUGAUAGAAGGACUGCAGGAUAAGCACAGGCAUUAAAAUCAGUAAUAAUCAGGUACUUACUGGGGCUCACUGAUAUUGUGGUUCCCUUCCCAAAAGUCAACGCAUUUCCUGCCCCGUAGGCACAGUGAAAUGGGGCCCUGCAAAUACCUCGGGUACCUACUCACCCUACUUUAUUCAUCACUGUAAAAAAUAGAAUUUUGUAUUUUGUCCUUACCCUCUGCAAGGAGCUCAUUGGGCCUUCAGUGUUUGGAUAUGCAAUAACAAAGCUCCCUAACUUUGUGAGAAGGAGGCUAGAUGGUGGUAGGUCCUCUAUUCACUCAGUAACUAGUCACUGAACACCUCUGUAUGUAAGGCACUGUACUAGGCACAGGGGACACAGUGGAGGGCAACUUGGACAUCAUUCCUGUCCACUACCUGUAGGUGCUCACAGUCCAGGGAGUGACACACAUAAAUCCAUAGAUAAAAUAAUGUCAAGUGAUGGAAGUGCAUUAAUAAAAAGAGGCUGGACAAUGGGAUAGAGAACAACCAGGCAGCAGUUGUGGCUUGUUAGACUGGCUGCGCAGGAAAAGUCUCUCUGAGGAGGUGACAUCUGAAGUGAGAUCUAGGCAUGGAGGAAUUUUAAUCAUCACCUCCACUGACAGAUAAGCUUACUGAUGGCUUGAAAGGUUAAAGCCUGGAUCCAAAUCACACAGCAUCAACCAUGGACAUGGAUGCUUAGAUCAUGCCUGCUCUCAGCUGAAAUACUAGAUCUAGUUCUACCACAUAAAUUCCUAGUUAGAAAAGAUAAAGCAAGACACAGAUUCUUCCAAAGUGGCUCUUGGAUAUUAUCUGGAUAACUGGAAGCCAGCACUGAUCUUCAAGGGCAUCAGGGCUGUGAGAGGGUGCCAACAGGAAGAGAAGGCAUUGGCAUUUCAGAGUAGAUUUUUUCUGAUGGAGGUGGCCACUGACAUGAAGAGAUUCCCUUCAUUUCAAUUAAAGAGAGAGAGAAAGAAGCUCUCUCCAUUCUGCUUUCCUAUUAAGUUGGCAAAGAAUGCAAACUGUUACCUAGUAGAGUGGGCUCUUUCAGUUAGAAUGGGAAAGGCUCAGAGAGUGCUCUGCUCCCCAGUAAAUCUGAAUAAAUUGAGGACAUGUGGAAGUCCACUGAGAUUUCCAAAAAAGUUUUACAUGUCUCAUUAACUAAUCAAAUUCAGAAUACAUAGUGAUACUUACUAAGAUCCACUUUUACCAUGGUCCCCCUUCCGAACACCAGAUUAUUGGUGCUUGAUACACCACAGUGAUCUAUGUCACCACAAAAACCAAAGGGUGCUUCAUUCUCAAGUACAGUGAUCUUCUUUAGGGUUCUCUCACUUGGUUGAAACCCAACUCAACACAAGCACAUAUUUAGGUAAACUCAAGAAAGGUCUUAAACUCUUUGGAAUCUAGGAAACUUCAGAAACCAUUUUCUACUACUCCAAACUCACACAUUUGUCUCUUCAGUGAUCUUAGGUUUUUGAUAUUUCCAGGGAUAAUUCUGCUAAUUCCUAUGUUCUAUUUUCUCAUAAUAGGAAGAGUUCACCUAAUAGGCCAAUUCAACCCUUUCUUUGCCAUAACUGACGUCUGUUAAACUUGCUUACCCCUCAGGCUUACCCUUCAAUGGAAUUUUUCAUAAAAUCUAACUUCUUAAAAAUUAUGAAGCAUUCAACCUCCCAUACUUUUCAAAGGGAUUUCACAUAUAUCAUCUUGUUUGGAUCUCACAAAAUCCUUUGAACUAGGCAGAACUGGAAUCAUUAUCUCAUGUUAUAGAUGAACUAAGCCUUAGAGAGUUUGAGUGAUCUUCCCAUGGCCACGAACUUGGCGAGUGGCUGAGCUGGAUUCACAUUGUCUUUUGGCUCCUAUUUGAAUGCCUUAAUGAUUUAUUUCAUCCACAUUUAUGUAUUGAUCACAUCACCUUGCUUUUCAAAUAUCCCUUCUUUUCUUAUUCCCUUCCCCAUUGAAAAAGGGGAACAUAAGCAACAAAAACAAUACUUCUCUCCCUAUGACCCCUUGUCCCUGCAAAAAAGCCAAGCGAAGCUCCAGUUCAAUUCUUUCUCAGAGCAAUGUUUUUUUAAUCCUCAUAUGCUUUCUGUGAGCUGGGAGAUAAGAGUUACCAAUGUUUCAGUUGCAUUAAUUGGGAAAAAUGAGGGUCUGAGGAGAUAAAUCAGAAUGCUGGUUAUAGAAGUUGCAGCCUGAUAUAGACAGCAAUAUAUUGAAUCUUAGAAAACAUGGGUCCUUGCCUGCUAUUGUGUCCAUGUUCAAAUCACUUACCACUCUGAAUAGAGAGAAUCACACCUUCCCACUGUCCUUUGCCUCUUGAGACAAUCAGAUAAGAGAUGUGAAGAAAUAAGAAAAGUAACUUAAUUGUUUUCCUUCUCUUAAGAAGAUGGGCUCUGGAAAAUAUCAAGGUAGCAAUAUCUUUUAUCCAUACUGAUUUUGUAUAUACAUAUGUGCUUACGCAUAAGAGCAAGACUAAAUAUUUUUAAGGCAGGUUUGAGACAUGUUAAUUUGGGUCAACACAGAACAUUAAUGGGUAGGCUCUUGCUUCAAUGUUAGAGCAGAAUUGUGGCUCAAGCCUCAGUAUUCAUUGGGUUGACUAACACCUGGUUUCUCUAAAAAUUAGCUUGUUUCCUGCAGCAUUGGUCGCCUGGUGAUUUGAGGCCUAUCAAAACCCACAGGGACCAAAGAAAUCACACUGUGCAGAUACUUGACAAAGGACAUUUCUGAAAGCAUUGACAAAGUGGAGGAGUUGUAAUGUUUAGGGUAAUCCUGCCUGUAAGUGCUGUACCUGCUUUAUAGAGCUAGAAUGCCCAUAAGUAGGCACAUAUUUGGGUCUAGACUGCUCAUAUAUUUACUUCUCUGCUUUGACUUUUUGGACCUGGAUUUAUGAGUGAAGAUAAUAGUUCUCAACCAUAGCCUUGCCAUUUUUUAACCCACAAAAAACCCUGAGAACAGGAAGCCCUAUAAGCCACGGAAACCUUUUGGAACAGGCUAUUUGUAUUUUCAGAGUGGAAAUGCUGAUGAACACAAUCACACACGGGCAUGCACAUUAGGGUCUCUAUAUUCAAUUUAGUGCCCAAAGAAGAUGCCAAAGAGAGGAAGGAUACGUCAGUUGGUCCACCUGGGCUCUACAAGCUGCUCUGCACUGUGGAUCAGCUCUACUUUCCUUGGUCCAACAUUCAAGCCCAGACUCUCUAGCUAUAUUAGAACUUCCACUGGUGAGGCUAGUAUUAAGGAAGAGUGUGAAGAGGUUUCUUGGGGAAAGUUUACGGAGUACGAUGGAGAAGCCAUUCUUGAUAAGAAAGGAGUAUAAUAGUUGAUGGAGCUUCUAACAGGGAGAUAACCAAGAAUCAGAGCACUCAACGAAAAUAAGCCUUGUAAACCUAUCUUCCAAUUUGACCAAAUCCUUCCUCAAGCAUUGGGUAUGAGCCAGAAUGUGUGUUUUGAGAAGCCUCACACAUGCUAGUGGGAUUGCCCUUCUUUUUUGACCUUUGCAGGGAUGAACAGUCUGCUUUCAGAUUCUCAAGUUCCUAAAAGGGCCCCUAGGUCAUCUUGACCUUCCUUCCACCUCCCCAUCCCAGUCUACCUAGGAAGGAGGGUCCUCCAGGAAGGGCAGUACACAUGUUCCCUUAGUUUUAAGACUAAGGGAAUUCACUCAUCUCUCUUUUCAGUUUCUUCACAGUAAUGUUUCCCUGGAGUAGAAAAUAACCCACUCACCAGGCCAUACAGUUAGCUGAGUUCCUUUUCCGAAGUGCAGUUUCCCUAAGGCUGAGGCUCUGUCGACACAGUGCUGGCCCCCUUUACAUGAACCUGGUCCUAUUGUUCCCCAAACACUCUCUCCCCUGCCCUGGGGAUAUGAUUGAAAAUCCACCUCUAUCCUCCUCAAGCGGCUUAAAGUCUUUUUCUUCUGCAGCCAGCAGUCUUAGCGGGAUGGUCAGUCCUCAGAGUCCUCAGAGGCUCUCUCUCAGGGGACAAAUGGUCUGUGGUAACAAUAGCCUUCCCACCUGCAGAGGCCCCUCCCAUCAGAAAGCAAUUACAUAUCCUUUUGAGAGUGUUUAAAUUGGAAGGAGCUUUGCUUCCCUGGCCCUAUUUCCCAGUAUAAAAGACUGCUCACUUACUUGGAUUGACAUUGUGUUUGGAACCCUUUCCAAAGCUGAACUCGUGAAAACUUUGAUAGACUAGAUCUGCCCUCUGCAAAAUCAUCUCAUUUCCCUCAUUCAACCUCUGGUCCUCCCUCCAUGCAUUUCUUUUUUCUCCUCUUUCUUUUUUCCUUCCUGAUAUCGCUCCUUUAUUUUCUCAUUUACUGCACUGGGAAAUCAUACCCCACCGUCUUCUUGGCUUAAAAAAAUCCCAAAUAGCCUUUAGCUCAUGAAUAAUCUGAUGACCUAUUUCUUUGGCUAUCAAAAUAAUAAAACUAGAAGGAACAGGUCUGGGCUCACCUUUUCAUCCUCUAGGCUUGAAUCCUGGGGUCUUAGCACUUAAGAAUUGAAAGGAAGCACAGAGGUGAUUUAGUCCAAUAGCUAAAAGGGUAUAGAAAUCCCUUCUCCAACAUCCAAUGCUUAGCCUGAAGGACCUAGCGUGAAGACCUCCAAGGAAGAGUAACUCUACACUUCACAAAGCAGCCUUUCGACUGCAGGGCAAUUCUACUUGUUCAUAAAGAUUCCAUAAGAGGUUGAGACAUCUUCUUUCAACCACUGGUUUUGAUUUUGCCUUCUGUACUAACUCCUUCCUUGGCUACAUUGCAGUUCUUCAAAUAUUUGAAGAGUUCUAUCUCAUCUUAAUAUAGUCCAGUGAAAUCCUC